ACGCCAAAGGGGAUGAAUACUUUUGCAAGGCACUGUAUAUGGUUGAAACAUCAGCAUACAUGGACACACAAAAAAAUUGUUGGGCAGGAGCCAUCAUUAAUCCUCCCAAUACCUACAGCACUCAUAGUAGCAGCCCAGCAAGGACGCGUAGAGGCCAAUGCGAUACCUCAUUAGAGAAGGUAGGUUACAGUGUGUGUAAUGCUGUAACAGAUGACAUGGUUGGCCUUAUAGUACAUAUGGCUUUUUACUGUAGUCACACAGACAGGUGAUACAUUCAUUCUUAUUAAACUCAUUCAGUUUUCUCCAAAGUCACUUUUUCCUCAGGUGCUGACAUCAACAUGCAGACGUAACGGUGCUUACAGCCCUGUAUGAGGCCAGUAAAAAUUGCCACAGGGAGAUAGUGGAGCUGCAAUUCUCUCCCAACACAGAUGCCAACAAACCCACCAAGACAGGACUCCUACCUCUACAUGUUGCUGCUCCGUAUGGACACCAUGAGUAUGUACGAGUGCACUGUGUUUCUCCUGUCGUGUCUCUUGUAUUGCUUUUGGUCAAUGGCUGUGAUAUCUGGGCCUACUUCAGAUGUGCAUAUGGUUGCAGCCCACACCCAGCCCAGGACAGCAUAGUCAUCGACAUCAACAAUGUACUGCCUACCAAUGACAUGCCUCUUUUAACCUGCACAUGACUUGUUGCCAGCAAAGUACAGUUUUGUGAGUUGAUCUCAUCAACUGUGUGUAACUGGGCAGGGCCCAUCGUAGACUUACUGCUGGACUACGUUGGUGAUGUUCAACUGUGUGCCAGACUCACCGAGCUCCUGGAUGGAUGACACGAAUGGCCCAGCAUCAAGACCAAGUCAUUGUCAGCCCGUCCACUGAUGCACCUGUGCAGGCUAAGGAUCCAUGAGCAGAUGGUUGUGUCCAGACUCAGGUCUCUGGACAGCCUACCCCUCCCAGAGAUUGCUGCAGUACCUCAGCCUGACCAGACACAGCUUUGAU